GAUGAACGCUGGCGGCGUGCCUAAUACAUGCAAGUCGAGCGAACAGACGAGGAGCUUGCUCCUCUGACGUUAGCGGCGGACGGGUGAGUAACACGUGGAUAACCUACCUAUAAGACUGGGAUAACUUCGGGAAACCGGAGCUAAUACCGGAUAAUAUAUUGAACCGCAUGGUUCAAUAGUGAAAGACGGUUUUGCUGUCACUUAUAGAUGGAUCCGCGCCGCAUUAGCUAGUUGGUAAGGUAACGGCUUACCAAGGCGACGAUGCGUAGCCGACCUGAGAGGGUGAUCGGCCACACUGGAACUGAGACACGGUCCAGACCCCUACGGGAGGCAGCAGUAGGGAAUCUUCCGCAAGGGGCGAAAGCCUGACGGAGCAACGCCGCGUGAGUGAUGAAGGUCUUCGGAUCGUAAAACUCUGUUAUAGGGAAGAACAAAUGUGUAAGUAACUGUGCACGUCUUGACGGUACCUAAUCAGAAAGCCACGGCUAACUACGUG
rnacentral:rRNA from 1 species